AUAUUUGCCCCGACUUUAGGUUCACCCUGUGAUUAAUAAGGAAUUUGGUGCGAAUCCAAAACUGUAUCUGCAGCUGUAAACACUAAAAGUCGGUUUCAUUACGUCACUGUUUCCACUAUUCAGGAAGCGGGAAGGCGAAAUCGAUACGGUGUGAGUCAGAAUACUUGCCAAAGUCAAAAUAAAGAA
rnacentral:ncRNA from 2 species